rnacentral:rRNA from 1 species
UGGGGAAUUUUCCGCAAUGGGCGAAAGCCUGACGGAGCAAUACCGCGUGAGGGAGGAAGGCUCUUGGGUCGUAAACCUCUUUUUUCGGGGAAGAUAAUGACGGUACCCGAAGAAUAAGCAUCGGCUAACUCUGUGCCAGCAGCCGCGGUAAUACAGAGGAUGCAAGCGUUAUCCGGAAUGAUUGGGCGUAAAGAGUCCGUAGGUGGUUAUGUAAGUCUGUGGUUAAAGAGUGGAGCUCAACUCCAUAGGGGCCAUAGAAACUACAAGACUAGAGUAAGGUAGGGGUAGAGGGAAUUCUCGGUGUAGCGGUGAAAUGCGUAGAUAUCGGGAAGAACACCAGUGGCGAAAGCGCUCUACUGGGCCUNNNCUGACACUGAGGGACGAAAGCUAGGGGAGCGAAAGGGAUUAGAUACCCCUGUAGUC